rnacentral:rRNA from 1 species
GAUGAACGCUAGCGGCAGGCCUAAUACAUGCAAGUCGAACGGUGUCUUCGGACAUAGUGGCGCACGGGUGCGUAGCACGUAUGCAACCUACCUUACAUUGGGGGAUAGCCUUUCGAAAGGGAGAUUAAUACCGCAUAAGACAGUAGCUGGGCAUCCAGCAGCUGUUAAAGAUUUAUCGAUGUAAGCUGGGCAUGCGUCCAAUUAGCUAGUUGGUGAGGUAACGGCUCACCAAGGCAAUGAUUGGUAGGGGAACUGAGAGGUCAAUCCCCCACACUGGCACUGAGAUACGGGCCAGACUCCUACGGGAGGCAGCAGUAGGGAAUAUUGGGCAAUGGACGCAAGUCUGACCCAGCCAUGCCGCGUGCAGGAUGAAGGCGUUAUGCGUUGUAAACUGCUUUUAUACAGGAAGAAACGACUCUUGCGAGAGGCAUUGACGGUACUGUAUGAAUAAGCACCGGCUAACUACGUGCCAGCAGCCGCUGUAACAC